GUGGGGAAUUUUGCGCAAUGGGGGAAACCCUGACGCAGCGACGCCGCGUGGAGGACGAAGGCCUUCGGGUUGUAAACUCCUUUUCCGGGGGAAGAUGAUGACGGUACCCCGGGAAUAAGCCACGGCUAACUCUGUGCCAGCAGCCGCGGUAAGACAGAGGUGGCAAGCGUUGUUCGGAAUUACUGGGCUUAAAGGGCGCGUAGGCGGUGAGGCAAGUCCGGUGUGGAAUCCCGGGGCUCAACCCUGGAAUUGCAUCGGAAACUGCUUCACUUGAGUCAGUGAGGGGAGGGCGGAAUUCCUGGUGUAGCAGUGAAAUGCGUAGAUAUCAGGAGGAAGGCCGGUGGCGAAGGCGGCCCUCUGGCGCUUGACUGACGCUGAGGCGCGAAAGCGUGGGGAGCAAACAGGAUUAGAAACCCGAGUAGUCC
rnacentral:rRNA from 1 species